GAAGUCAGAAAAUUGCCUGUCCUUUAAAAGGAAGUGAUGUUCUUGAUUCAGUGUGAUUUCUGCCAAGUGCUCUGAAUGUCAAAAUGAAGAAGUUCAAUGAAGCACAGGUAAAUGGCAGUAGUAACUAUGACUCUGGUAAGGUAGCCAAAUGCCCUGUCAUCUCAUUAGUAACAUUUAUGAAUGGAUGAACAAGAUUCC
rnacentral:ncRNA from 1 species